GCAAUCCUUGGUCUCUCAGGCAGUCUUCAAUUUGAGCCUCCUGGAGAAUGCCUUGCGGCUGCGCAGUCCCCGGCAGUUACAUAGAGGUGACCACUGCCAUUCUUCCCGAAACCAGGGAUGACAGAGGGAUGCCCACGCGGUACUGGGUCACCCACCAGGGGCUCAUCCCCGGGAAGGCUAAUGUUGCCUCAAUUAUUUGUUGACUGCUUACAGCAAUUUAUUUAGAGGUAGGGACCCAUGAGAUUUCCCCCAAUUGUGUAGGAUGACUGUUGAUGGAAUUACCCAGGUCUUUGUUUAGGCAGCCAUAUUGCUGAGAUUUGAUGGGUGUGGCUUCCCUGACUAGUUAGAAGGCACAAUCUCACGGCAGACUUCCUGGUCCUCUCAGUCUCUUACUUUACUAAAAUUGUCCUUCUGUUUCUA
rnacentral:lncRNA from 1 species